UACCAGCACCCCGAGUGGUCGGGACGAUUAUUGGGCCUAAAGCAUCCGUAGCCGGCCUUACAAGUCCUCCGUUAAAUCCAGCUGCUUAACAGAUGGGCUGCGGAGGAUACUAUAAGACUAGGAGGCAGGAGAGGCAAGCGGUACUCAGUGGGUAGGGGUAAAAUCCGUUGAUCCAUUGAAGACCACCAGUGGCGAAGGCGGCUUGCCAGAAUGCGCUCAACGGUGAGGGAUGAAAGCUGGGGGAGCAAACCGG
rnacentral:rRNA from 1 species